AGGAACAACUGAGGAGGACUGCCCCUCGCUAAAAUAUUAAUUAUAUAGAGCAAUGCAUCUGGGCUUCUCUUUACACUGUAAACGUUUUCCUACAGUGGUGCCUAUGAAACAAAUUCUUGUCCCCGUUACUUCACAUUAUCAUUUCAAAAGGCCAUUAUCUUUCUUUCUGCUUGAUCGCCCUUUGAGGUAGCACCUCCAAACGUCAACUCAAAAUCUCUCUGCCCUUCAGCUUCUCCGCCAAGCAAGUUAACGACCUGUAAAUAAAUCCUUAAAUGUCCUUAGGAAUCUGCCGUUUGAAGGAAUCCUAUUAGAAACUGAAGAAUCCUUCUGAAAUGCAAAUACAUUUCCUCCCUUAUUGAACCGGCCUAAAGCUUUUCACCUGGCUUCCUGGAGGGGUGCAAACCCCCACAGAACUCCAGCCUUGCUUUUUGAGGUUCUCAUUGUCUUUAGGGGGAGAUGAGGGACGAAGCAGCCUAGAAAAUCUUGAUCUCAUAUUUUUUUCCAGAGGAGUAGGAGGAAGAUCCAAAAUAGUUAGGUCUGGCAGCUUAAUCUGGGUUGGCUGUUUUUGCCAGCAAUCUGUAAAAUGUGUUUUUCAAGGAUAAGAAGUUUGGGCCCCAGGCUAGAGCUUGUGUCUGUCAUGGGCAGGAAGAUAAACGAUCUCUUUAACCCACUGCUAUGCGCUGUUUGCCUUUGUGCCUGGCCUGAUCAGGAACACCAUGCCUGCCACAGGCCCAGAGCUGCCCAGGGUUGAUUCUUCCCUCUUCCAAGCAGAACCUUCACAUCACCAGUUGGGUGAGCAUGGCAGGGCCCGCCUUUUGUGGGGUAAAACUGCACACUAGCCCACGCCCGAAUUGGUAUUUGGCUUCUCAUGCUGCCUGAGAGGUUCAGGAAGGGAUCCUGAAGUCCUCCUGCUUUUGAAUGCACACAAAAUAUACCAGGUUCCUACAAGGUACUGAAGGCUGCCACCCACCGAGAGCCUCUGGGGCAAGAACUUUGGGGGACUCUUGGGUUCACGCAUAUGCAAAGUUUCAUUCCAGCACAGAGCUGCAAUAGUACAGCCUGCUACUAGCUGUGGAGACUUAAAGGGAUGUCUGCUCAGCCGUGUUUCCUGUUUGCUGUGAACGCACCGCAGCAGGGCUGAGGGUGCCAGAGCUCAGAGCAGAGGGUUCAGGUGUGAACAGGGAGGGUACUCACAACAUGGCAUAGCCUUGACCCCUUCCUCCUCCGCCUCUCCUGCCUCCCCUCCUCCCACCCCCAUCACCGGAGGACAGGGGUGGAAAAGAGCAGGGGGUCCUAGCUCCCUCAGGAACCAACGGCAGUGCUUCAGGGGAGCCUGGGCACAUGUGGAUUUCCUUCCCUCCUGUGCCUCACCCGUCCUCCUCCAAGCUUCUGACUUCCUUCUUCCCUGGUCAAGGCCAAGUGGACAGGAUGAGCUGAAUGCAGAGAGAGAUAGAGGAGGGACAGCCAGCGACUAAGUCACCUGCUCAGCGUAGCUUCCCCAAAUCUUGCUUCUUAAACUGGGGUACUUGUGUCUAGGAGGACAGGACUGUGGACCUGGGGAGUGGGGUGUGGUGAGGGGAUAAGAGGAGCCACAGAAUCAAAAUGGCGUAAUCUCCUCAAUCCUACUCAGAUUUGGAAAGGAAACAUUGGGUUUUUUUGUUUUGUUUUAAAAACUUGUGUUGACAACCUAAAAGUUGAGAAAUAUGUUUUACUUGGUGGACUUGCUGGGGACUUCAAGCCUGGGAGGCAGCCUCUCUGAUAGCUCUGAGGGACUGCUCUGAAGAGGUAGGGAGGGGAGCCAGGAUAUAUAGGAGUUUUGCAACAAAGACCAGGUAGCGGGAACAUUAAAAGAUUACUGUCAAUUAAAGAAAAACCAGAUAUCUCAAGUUAACGAAUUAAGCCCUUUUCUAUGUAGGGAAGAUGCAAGAGUCUGGGUUCACUGAAGUCAUUCCUUUGAUAUGCACCUUAGCUGUCUAGGGCUUCCAUUCUCUCCCAUCCUGAGUCCCCUUGGGGUGCACUGUUGAGGAUGGUGCAGUGGCUGAGGAUUUGGCAGCCCAUUGGUCUCCAUCCUUAGUUCCCUCAGGGCUGUACUGGCUUGAUGGCUGCAACAUUCUUUGUUUGCUGAUAUGGCAGGCAACAUUUUUCAUCCACACUUUUGUAACAUUACUUUUUAAAUGAAGACAAACUUUUUUUCUUAAGUUGGGUCCAGCCAAUUUCCGUUGUUGUGUGACUAAAAAGCAACAACCCCAAAUAGCGCCCAGCCUAUAGCAUCUGUCCACUUAACCCCUCCCUCUUCAGUCACCCAGGGCUCCCACUAUGUACCUGGAGGAAAGUUGCGUUCGUUCUCUAGGCUGGCAGACCAGGGAGGAGGAGGCAAUUCAAGGGUGCCUUCAGUGUGAAAGGCUGGGCUCUGACACAGGGACUGGAGGAAGCUGGGAAGAGGUAGCAGAGCACUGGAUUGGGGUGAGGAGAGAGCGCUCCACGCAGUUACAUCACCCCAGGUUAGGUGCCCUGCCCUCCCAGGCCUCCAUUUCUUCACCUGCCAGACAAAGGAGUCGGAGGGGUUCGGGACCGACUGUAAGCCCUUGCUGGCUUGAUAUGUCUGUGGCUUCCUUCACCCACACCUCUGCACAGAGAGCUUUCUGCUCUCAACAGAGCCCAGUGUGAGGACAGUGUGGUGGAGCUGGUGAAAGAGAAGAGAACUAACAAGAUAGCUCUUGAAUUGUUCAGGCCUGUGCUUUUAGCUAAACUGAUCUUAUGACUAACAGGCUCCCCUCCCUGUGCACUCUUUUCUUAGAAUAACUCAAUCCUUUUUUACCCUUCAAGAGGUCUUGAAAAAGGUCAUGGACUGAACCUCAAGAACAUGGGCAGACCUUCCUAAAUUCCUCCAUAACAACAGCAAGUUCUUAUCAAGAUGAAAGGAAUGAAACAUCUAUGCCCUGAUCGUUAUCACCUCUUCUGUUCCAUCCAGUUUUUCUGUAAAACCUCAGGACCCCAACCCCAAGAUGGAUUCACAGUUUCCAAGGCAUUAGCCCCCUGUGACUCCCCUUUGCCCGGCAAAGCAAUACAGCUGCUCUUUUCUUUGCUCCCAAAACUCUGCCUCUGGGUUUGAAUUCACUUUUCGGGGUGCAGAGACCGAUUUUUCAGCAACACUGGGGUGCGUUGCUUAUCCCAACUCCAGGAACCAAAGAUUGUCAUUGCUGGCCCCAGGGGGUCCUGAAUUGCCUUGCCAGCGAGGAGUAGUCUGGUGACAGCACUGGUCCUGAAAUCUUGCCAGCUGGGCAUGACAAGCAGGCCUUGUCAUGAAUCCAGGGCAUGUUCUCACCAGAGGAACCAGACUCGAUUCUGGCCUUGGCAAAGGUGCGGAGGAUUUGUUCUGGAACAUUGAGCACUGCAGCAACCCCACCCUAAAGAGCACGCUCCCCCGACACUGCCAGCCCUGCAGCCCUCUGGUCCCUUUCACUGCUAGGCAGUUAGGCAGUACCUGAAAGGAAUUUAACCUCUCUGGGCAAGUUGCCCAGGCGCAUCUGUAGGGAUUUCACACACCCCUCCCCCACCAGAAAACACUCAAAGUAUUGCAUAAAUGUGAGACUUAAGGAACUCCUGCCUCAGAAAUGCCCUUGUCCUUUUCUUGUAUGCAGUGCUAUUUUCAAAACCAGUAUUUAAGCCCUUCUGAGGAAUUCCUGCCCAUCAGUCAAGAUGUAGCCUCAGUGGCCUCCUCCUGUCCAUCCUGUCGGCUUCCAUUGUGCACAUCUCUACCAGAGCUUGGAGCUUAAGAGCACAGCCUUACAAUUUAUCUGUGGACACGUCAAUCUCCUCACCAGGCCCUGAGCAGAUUUUCUAGAAUGGCAGCUGUUCAGGGUGGGGCUUCCAUCACUUAAUAUAGAGGCCCCUGCCAACACCAAAGUUCUGUGUAGGUUGCAGUCAGUUCCAAAUACUCUUUUCUCAACUGUUCUUGUCUUAAUUGUUAUGGUCUCAAUUCCUUCCAUAACAGUUUACUUACUUACUUAGACCUCAUCUAUCUUACUGAAUGGUGGUGUUGGGUCAUCUGGGGUCAGAAAAACAGUGAAAAAAUGCCAAUACUCUGGCUACAACUAUCUCUAGGGAUAAUAAAGUGUCCUUCUCUGACCCAGGAGUCACAUGUCUUCCACCCACAUCCACAAAUUGUAGUAGGCUAACUGAUUAGCCCACAAGUAGGGUAAAAUCUCAAGCCCUGCACUGUUCUUGACAGCUUGGAGCAUUGUGGGUAGAGGAAGCAGUAUAUGCAAAGGCCCUGAGGCCUGAGGGAGCACAGCCUAUUCUAGGAGUUGCCAGGAGAUCAUGACCAUGGCCUACAUGUUGACUGUGGGGUGACAAGCAAUCUCUUCCUUCCAGCAGAAGCUCAAAUGUCACCUUCUCUGACCAUCCUGUCUGUGACCAUCCUAUCUAUCUAGCAGCUGUAGAAAUAUUUUCAAGUAUUUUGUGAUUUGCAUUUUUAGGGCAGUGAACCCUUUAGCAGCAUGGGGAGCUCACUGAAGAAAAGCAAGAUCAUGGGAGACUGGAAGACCAGGAGGUACUGGCGAUUGAACGCAGGACCUUGUGCAUGCUAAAGAUGAGCUACCACUGAGCUCCACCCACCCUCCCGGUUAACGGGCUUUCUGAUGACUGAGGCCAGCUCCAAGUUGGAUAGCCCCUAUUUAACUUGACCUUUUCACACUUCUCCAAUUCCUCUUUUCCUUUCAAAUAUUUUAUUGACAUAAUGAAAAAAAUUCUGAUUCUUAUUUACAUUCAAUAAAAUGUAGAUCUUGAGUGUACAUCUCUAUGAAUUGAUAUCUAUAUAUACCCAUGUAACCACUACUCAAACCAAGAUACAAAACAUCCCUAUCUCCCCAGAAGUUCUCUGUGCCCCUUCCAAGUCUAAGGUACCCAUCCCCACCCCAAGGUAAUCCAUGUUCUGACUUCCAUCACCUUAGUUUAUUUUUGCUGAGUUUUUGAACUUCAUGUAAAUAGAAUCAUACAGUGUUUACUUUUUUCUGCACAUAGCUUCUUUCUCUCAGCCUAAUGGUUCAUGUUGUUGUGUGCUUCAGAAAUUCACUCUUUCUUUUAUAGCUGUGUAGUAUUCCACUGUGUAAUAUACCACAAUUUGUCUACCAUUCUUCUGCUGACGGGCAUUUGGGUUGUUUCGAAUAAAGCUGCAGUGAACUUU